AUGAUGGACUAUAGGACAGGACUGCUGCUUCUAACUAUCUGCUGGACAGGUGUUGAUGGUCAGACUCUGACAGAAUCUGAACUAUCAGUUAAAAAACUUGGAGAAUCCCACAAACUGACCUGUACAACCUCUGGAUUCACAUUCAGUGACUACUGGAUGAAUUGGAUCAGACAGGCUCCUGGCAAAGGACUGGAGUGGAUUGCAAUGAUUAGAUAUGACAGUGCUUACAUCUACUACUCUCAGUCAGUUCAAGGCCGGUUCACCAUCUCCAGAGACAACAGCAGACAGCAGCUGUAUCUGCAGAUGAACAGUCUGAAGACUGAAAAUUCUGCUGUUUAUUAUUGUGCUUGCGAGUGGGGAGGAGGUGACUUUUACCAAAAUAAUGCUCUGAAGAACAAGUUCCUUUAUCACACACACACUUGUGUGUGA